rnacentral:lncRNA from 1 species
GCAAAGGCCUAAAAACGGUCCUGGCCAGCGGAAGGCGGCAAGAGGAGCAGCAAGGCUCCACGCGAGGCGGCCGGCGGCUGGAGUCCCAGUCAGCCUCCGCUUUCAUCCCAGAGCAGUCCACGGGGGCCUUAAAGGAAUGUAGGCUGGGUGAAGUUGGCCCAGUGACACCUGCGUUCAGAAAAACGUUCUUUCCGCUCCCAACGCCCCCUCUCCACCGCCACCCGACCCCCGAAAUAGUUUUCCCCGAGUGUUGUGGAUAGAACUGUUGAUCUCUUGGAAAAGUUAUUAGUUUCAGGAAAAUCAACCUUUAAAAGGAGUGAAAUUCUGACAUUUGCUGCCACAUGGAUGAAUCUUGAUGAUGAUAUGCUGAGUGAUAUAUAAUCAGUCACGGAAGGACAAAUACUGCAUGAUUCAAUUUAUAUCAGGUACCUAGAGUAGCCAAAUUCAUAGAGACAAAGUAGAAUGGUGGUUGCUACGGGCUGAGAGGAGGAGGGAAUUGAGAGUUGUUUAAUGGGUGAUGGAAAAGUUUUGUAGAUAGGAUGGUUGCACUGAAU